AUUGAACGCUGGCGGCAGGCCUAACACAUGCAAGUCGAACGAGUGGCGGACGGGUGAGUAAUGUCUGGGCAACUGCCCGAUGGAGGGGGCUAACUACUGGAAACGGUAGCUAAUACCGCAUACCCUCGGAUGUGCCCAGAUGGGAUUGGCUAGUAGGGGGGGUAACGGCUCACCUAGGCGACGAUCCCUAGCUGGUCUGAGAGGAUGACCAGCCAAACUGGAACGGAGACACGGUCCAGACUCCUACGGGAGGCAGCAGUGGGGAAUAUUGCACAAUGGGCGCAAGCCUGAUGCAGCAAUGCCGCGGGUAUGAAGAAGGCCUUCGGGUUGUAAAGUACUUUAAGCGAGGAGGCGUUACUAGCAGAAGAAGCACCGGCUAACUCCGUGCCAGCAGCCGCGGUAAUAC
rnacentral:rRNA from 1 species